rnacentral:tRNA from 1 species
GCCGGGAUGGCGAAAUUGGUAGACGCACUAGGUUUAGGACCUAGCGGAGCAAUCUGUGGAGGUUCGAGUCCUCUUCCCGGCACCA